rnacentral:rRNA from 1 species
UGGGGAAUAUUGCACAAUGGGCGGAAGCCUGAUGCAGCGACGCCGCGUGGGGGAUGACGGCCUCGGUUGUAACCUCAUUCGCUAGGACGAAGCCGAUGCAGGUGAGCGGGUACCUGGAUAAGAAGCACCGGCUAACUACGUGCCAGCAGCCGCGGUAAUACGUAGGGUGCGAGUGUUGUCCGGAUUUAUUGGGCGUAAAGAGCUCGUAGGCGGUUUGUUGCGUCGGCCGUGAAAUCUCCAUGCUUAACGUGGAGGGUGCGGUCGAUACGGGCAGACUUGAGUUCGGUAGGGGAGACUGGAAUUCCUGGUGUAGCGGUGAAAUGCGCAGAUAUCAGGAGGAACACCGGUGGCGAAGGCGGGUCUCUGGGCCGAUACUGACGCUGAGGAGCGAAAGCGUGGGGAGCGAACA